UAGGGCUACACACGUGCUACAAUGGCGCAUACAGAGGGCAGCAAGCUUGCGAUAGUGAGCGAAUCCCAAAAAGUGCGUCGUAGUCCGGAUUGGAGUCUGCAACUCGACUCCAUGAAGUCGGAAUCGCUAGUAAUCGUGAAUCAGAAUGUCACGGUGAAUACGUUCCCGGGCCUUGUACACACCGCCCGUCACACCAUGGGAGUGGGCUGCAAAAGAAGUGGGUAGUUUAACCUUUCGGGGAGGACGCUCACCACUUUGUGGUUCAUGACUGGGGUGAAGUCGUAACAAGGUAGCCCUAGGGGAACCUGGGGCUGGAUCACCUCCUUAUACGAAGAUAC
rnacentral:rRNA from 1 species